AAAAAAUUGAUACUCUCCUUUUGUAAAACACUGGAUGGCCUACACAAUAACUAAAACUUACCCACAUCAGGGAUAGGUGAAGACUAACUGGGGGAAAAACCUACCCACAUCAGGGAUAGGUGAAGACUAACUGGGGGAAAAAACAUGUACAAUGGAUUUUUCUCAUAGCUGUCUAAUGCAGGCUUAACAAAAAAAUCAGUAAAUGAACUGAAAAAAUGUAAACUGACAUAAAAUGGCCAUAAAGAUAACAAAGACUAAACUGCUCUAAACACGAUAUUCACAGCAAAUUAAAGUACUGAAAGUCUGGUGAAAGCUCAGAUGUAAGAAAUUUUUAAUACAGGUACUUACUUGGUUAAUAAGUGUUACAGUACUUGGUUAAUAUAAGCUUGAUGAAAUAAAACCACUGUUUAUUCAUAUUCUUUUCUGAUUUUACUUCCUUGCACAAUUAUGCAUUUAAACGGUUCCUUUUGACUUUUAACAUAAUUUGAUGAUAAAUAUAGAUAUCUUACCUGCAGACAAAUAUUUUCUUAAAAAGUCUCCAUGGUAUUGUCAAAUAACCAUCUUUUUGGAAAACCUGGUUAACAAAUGUUAUAAAAUAUUUCAAGAAUUUCAAGUAUUAAACACAGGCCUAAUAUUCAGUUUUGAUUUUAAUCUCUCAUAGACUGCUCCGGACAGCCUGGUUUGGAGUAAUCUUGUCGUUUAUCGAGAUAACAUAAAAUAAAGCCUGGACUAGGUGUAUGGAAAUGAAAAUUGUUUUAAUGAAUUAAUGGCAACCUGGGAGUAAAUUUACUAAAACGGCAAUGUUACUAUCUUUCUCGCUAGAAUAAUUAGAUUUUAUGAUGGACAGAGUGUCAAUAUAGUGUUUAAAUCUAAGUGAGACCACCCUCAUACCAAUGUAUAACUUGUGUAUAUUUAUUGUAGUCAUUUUUUUUACAGUAUCUAUGACCUGAUUGUUAUGUUCAUUGUAUGUACAUAUGCAUGACGAGAAACUGUGUACAGUUUAAGUCAAUAAAAUGUUCUUCUUCUUCUUCUAAAGAAAAAAAUAUAUUAAAUGUUUGACACAUUAAAUAAUUCCAAAGAAUGUCUGAAAAUCAACAGGCACUGACCAUAUCUUUUUAUUUGCCAAAUUUUCUACGUAUAUUCUAAAGUUUAAAAAAAUCGGGGUUUAAUCAAAUUCUACAAUGUAGAAAAAAAUUUGAUCCAAUCGUGCAGAACUACCUUAAUGUUUGAUUAGCAGGAAGUGAUGGCAUAAUUUCUUUUAUCAGUAAAACCAAGGAAAAUGCCUGGUUGUUAUACAGGUAGU